rnacentral:rRNA from 1 species
UACGUAGGGGGCAAGCGUUGUCCGGAUUUAUUGGGCGUAAAGAGCGUGUAGGCGGCCAGGUAGGUCAGCUGUGAAAACUCGAGGCUCAACCUCGAGACGUCGGUUGAAACCACCUGGCUAGAGUCCGGAAGAGGAGAGUGGAAUUCCUGGUGUAGCGGUGAAAUGCGCAGAUAUCAGGAAGAACACCCGUGGCGAAGGCGGCUCUCUGGGACGGUACUGACGCUGAGGCGCGAAAGCGUGGGGAGCGAACAGG